rnacentral:rRNA from 1 species
GCAUAUCAAUAAGCGGAGGAAAAGAAACCAACAGGGAUUGCCCUAGUAACGGCGAGUGAAGCGGCAACAGCUCAAAUUUGAAAUCUGGCUUCGGCCCGAGUUGUAAUUUGCAGAGGAAGCUUUAGGCGCGGCACCUUCUGAGUCCCCUGGAACGGGGCGCCAUAGAGGGUGAGAGCCCCGUAUAGUUGGAUGCCUAGCCUGUGUAAAGCUCCUUCGACGAGUCGAGUAGUUUGGGAAUGCUGCUCAAAAUGGGAGGUAAAUUUCUUCUAAAGCUAAAUACCGGCCAGAGACCGAUAGCGCACAAGUAGAGUGAUCGAAAGAUGAAAAGCACUUUGAAAAGAGGGUUAAAUAGCACGUGAAAUUGUUGAAAGGGAAGCGCUUGUGACCAGACUUGCGCCGGGCUGAUCAUCCGGUGUUCUCACCGGUGCACUCUGCCCGGCUCAGGCCAGCAUCGGUUCUCGCGGGGGGAUAAAGGCCCUGGGAACGUAGCUCCUCCGGGAGUGUUAUAGCCCAGGGCGUAAUGCCCUCGCGGGGACCGAGGUUCGCGCAUCUGCAAGGAUG